UUUGUCACCAGAAAAAAAAUUCCGGUCAAUUUUUAAACCCUUUUCGCGUUCUGUAUCCUCUUGUAACCGAUAAAUUUUGUUGCCAUGUCAUAAGCUGGUAUCAAAGUAUUGCCCCGUGAAAUAUGCUUUGCCAAACUUUCCACAAUUCUUCAUAGCUGAAUCUCUGAAUAUUUCAACUACAUUACCGACGUACCUAGAAUCGUGGUGACAAGAACUGGUAACAUUUCUUGGUAAUGAAAUCUUUCAGCUACAAAAUCUUCCGUAACGUG